AGAAACAACAAGAAAGACAAAAUGGAUCAAAGAAUACAUCUGCACUUCCUUCUCCUUGCUUCAUCUCUCUUUUCUUCGAUGUUUUCCC
rnacentral:ribozyme from 1 species